rnacentral:rRNA from 1 species
GGAAUAUUGGACAAUGGGGGCAACCCUGAUCCAGCAAUGCCGCGUGUGUGAAGAAGGCCUGCGGGUUGUAAAGCACUUUCAGUGGGGAGGAACGGCCUUAGGUUAAGAGCUAGAGGUUAUGACGUUACCCACAGAAGAAGCACCGGCUAACUCUGUGCCAGCAGCCGCGGUAAUACAGAGGGUGCAAGCGUUAAUCGGAAUUACUGGGCGUAAAGCGCACGUAGGUGGAUAUUUAAGUUGGGUGUGAAAGCCCCGGGCUCAACCUGGGAUGGUCAUCCAAAACUGGAUAUCUAGAGUACGGUAGAGGGAAGUGGAAUUUCAGGUGUAGCGGUGAAAUGCGUAGAUAUCUGAAGGAACAUCAGUGGCGAAGGCGACUUCCUGGGCCAAUACUGACGCUGAGGUGCGAAAGCGUGGGGAGCAAAC